GAUGAACGCUGGCGGCGUGCCUAAUACAUGCAAGUCGAGCGAACAGACGAGGAGCUUGCUCCUUUGACGUUAGCGGCGGGCGGGUGAGUAACACGUGGAUAACCUACCUAUAUGCGUGGGAUAACUUGGGAAAACCGUCGCUAAUCCGGGAUAACCUGUUGAACCGCAUGGUUCAAGAGUGAAAGUCGGUCUUGCUGUUACUUUUAGAUGGUUUCGGGUUGCAUUAGCGAGUUGGUCAGGUAACGGCUUACACAGGCAACGAUGCGUAGCCGACCUGAGGGGGUGUGCGGCCACACUGGAAGUGAGACGCGAUACUGACACCUACGGAAGGCAGCGGUAGGGAAGCUUGCGCAAUGGGCGAAAGCCUGACGGAGCAACGCCGCGUGAGUGAAGAAGGUCUUCGGAGCGGAAAACUCUGUUAUUAGGGAAGAACAAAUGUGUAAGUAACUAUGCACGUCGUGACGGUACCUAAUCAAAAAGCCACGGCUAACUACGUG
rnacentral:rRNA from 1 species